UACGAAGGGGGCUAGCGUUGCUCGGAAUCACUGGGCGUAAAGCGCACGUAGGCGGAUUGUUAAGUCAGGGGUGAAAUCCUGGAGCUCAACUCCAGAACUGCCUUUGAUACUGGCAAUCUCGAGUUCGGGAGAGGUGAGUGGAACUGCGAGUGUAGAGGUGAAAUUCGUAGAUAUUCGCAAGAACACCCGUGGCGAAGGCGGCUCACUGGUCCGAUACUGACGCUGAGGCGCGAAAGCGUGGGGAGCGAACAGG
rnacentral:rRNA from 1 species